CGCGCGCCGCCGCCUCCGCCGCCGCUGGAGCCCAACAUGGCGAUGCACAACAAGACGGCGCCGCCGCAGAUCCCAGACACCCGGCGGGAGCUGGCCGAGCUGGUGAAGCGGAAGCAGGAGCUGGCGGAAACACUUGCAAACUUGGAGCGACAGAUCUAUGCUUUUGAAGGAAGCUACCUGGAAGACACUCAGAUGUAUGGCAAUAUUAUCCGUGGCUGGGAUCGGUAUCUGACCAAUCAAAAAAACUCCAAUAGCAAAAACGAUCGGAGGAACCGGAAGUUCAAGGAAGCCGAACGGCUCUUCAGCAAAUCCUCAGUCACAUCAGCCGCUGCAGUAAGUGCCUUGGCGGGAGUUCAGGACCAACUCAUCGAAAAGAGGGAACCAGGAAGUGGGACAGAAAGCGAUACUUCUCCAGACUUCCACAAUCAGGAGAACGAGCCUGCCCAGGAGGACCCUGAGGACCUGGACGGUUCCAUACAGGGAGUGAAGCCCCAGAAGGCUGCCUCUUCUACUUCCUCAGGGAGUCACCACAGCAGCCACAAAAAACGGAAGAAUAAAAACCGGCACAGCCCGUCUGGCAUGUUUGAUUAUGACUUUGAGUAUGUAUAUUAGGUUAGGCUGGGAAGUUUUUUUUAAAAACAGAAAAACGUGAUGGAGGAUUGAUCUGAAGUUAAACAAAAAGCCCCGAGCUGACUAUUAGAAGACUUGUUAGCAGCAGCUUCCAGCCGUGGAGCCCUGCUUCCCCUCUGACCUCACAGCGACAAAUGUCCCUCACCUGACUGUGGCCAUCCGCCUCUGCUCCCCCAGACCCAGUGCCUGUAACUGGCUAGUCUGUCUUAACUGUACGAGUCCUUUCUAUAAGACUGGGUCAUUUGCCAUUGUCAUCGGUAGUAGCAGUUCAGCGGGAAGAGCUGUUCUUGGUCCCAGUCCCAGCGGGUGGCUAACUGUGCAUUUCUCCCUUAGAAUGAAUGUCUCCCCCCAAACUGGCUGGCACCAGCUCCAUCUGUGACCCCCCCCCCCAAUCGAGAAGUGCACAUCUCUGAUUUUGUGUUCCGCUGAAAGUAGAGCCCGGGUUCCACUGCAGAUGGAGGCUGUAAAUAUCUGCCACUCUUUCGUUUGGUUUUGUGUUGUAUUAUUUUUUUAUUGUUGUUUUUAUCAUCUGAUUUUCUUUUGGGACAUUUUGUGAUGCCUGUACUUUCCUGAUGACGCAUCCAAUGGUCUGUUUCAUGUGGUGUCAAUAUUCAUAACUGAAACUAAAGUGGCUUUCAGAAGUAAAUGGGCAGUGUGGCUCUUUGACUUCUUGACUUCUGUAGGGGGAAGGUAGAGAGCGUUUAAUGGUGGCGUGUUGGAAGCAGACUCAUGUCCGAGGAACAAGAAAGCUGGAAAACGCUAUCCUCGUAGAACAGACACUUGGAUUCCUUUGUAGAAAUAAAAUUUCCUUGCCCUCCAUCUCUCAUGCUUUCCUUCUCAGCCUGAGAGUUUCUUUUCCAUCUUUUCACACUCUCUCCCUUCUCCCUCUGUCUCCCUCUGUCUCCCUCUGUCUCUCUCUGUCUCUCCCUCUGUCUCUCUCUCUCUGUCUCUCUGUGUCUCUGUCUCUCUCU